AUAGUUGAGACGCUGAACUUUUUAAUACUUACAUUCUUAAGUUUUUCAAGGCUUUUCUAAUAAGUCUGGCAUUCCUGCCCUUGGCAGUGUGAGAUGGAAGAUGAUGUCGCAAGGGUGGCCGAGAAGCAGCUGGGCCGAGCUGUUAAAAGCACAGAGACCGGGACCAGACUCCUCAGCCUGAAAUCCUGCUACCACCAAGUGCUAGCUGGGUAAUUUCAGGUGGAGCCCGGUUGGCAGGAAAUGUUUCUCCAGAAGCUGAGAAGCUGCCUGGUAAAGGCCUUUCAUAAAAUGGUCUGUGUUUGGGACCAGGAAGACAGAAUACUCCUCAAGAAGAGAACUGGAACCUUAACCCACUUCAGACUUCUUCAUGUCUGAAGCUUAUUUCCACCAUCCCAUUGAGAACCAAAGAAGCGAGCUCCUUGGAGAAUUGGCUCCCACCUGGACCUUCUGUUUAUCCUUCCAAUAGCAGCUGCAUUCAUCCUUCCCAGCUAAUGACACUUCCAGUCUUUCGUGUUUCAAAGUAUCACGGACUUUGCAAAAGAUACCAGGUUUCUAUGGAGCAGAUAGUACUUUUAACAAUCGCCAUGUGCAUUAUUAUUUCCUCCUAAGGCAUACUUAGACAUCAGUGCAUGCUACAGCAAGGCAACUUAUCUCACCCUUACCAAGAUAUUCUGCACUUUCAGUGACAAAAUUUUAAAGAAAAGGAGAUAAAAUAGAACACAAAUUCAAUAUGACUAUUGUCAUCCUUCCCUCCCAGGAAGUGUAGGAAUCAUCCAAAGUGGUAAAAGAGCAGCGCUUCUAAACUCUGGCUUCACAUGGAAAAUAACGCGACUACUAAAACUGAUAACAAUAGCAGUCCAUGCCGUUUGACAGGGGUGUGUAGGAGAGGUGGUGAGCAAGCUGAAAUCCCUUCAGGUAUUUGCAGAACUUCUGAGCAAAAGCUAAAGCUAAAAUUAACAUUAAAUAUGCAAAGUAUUUUUAACCCAACAUAAAUUAACAAUGUUCCUAUUUCAAUUCUAUUGCUCUUGGGAUGACUAUGUCCUUUGGAAAAUGUUUAAAUAACUUAAGAUUUCCGUCAUGAGUUUACUAUUUCAAAACUUAUUUUUUUAACUGCAAGAUACCUUUUUAUGUUACCAAGAGUGUUACCAGCUAGCUGCCAAAACUUGGUUGAAGUUCUCCCACUUUAUAUUGUAAAUGAUUACAUAGUUUAUUAGUAAUUGUGUCCCCUGUCCACCCACUGGUCCAUUUGGAUGGGAAAAUUUUCAAAAUAACUUCAUAGGAAAAUGAUAAGAAAAAUGUGGUCACCGGUAUCAUGAGGAACUUCCAGACAUCUCAGCACAGAAAAGUUGGUUUUAAAGUCAUCGAAAACGUUACUGGUAAUGAGCUUCCACUCCUUUAGAGUAGUCUUUGUCCAUAGAUACACCACAGAGUAAGGUUAUAAAAAUAAAAGUUGUUUCAGGAAAUUUCCCAUUGCUUUAUUACAUGAUCAAUGAGAGUAAAGAGAAAUGGAAGCUGAAGGGAUAGGAAUGAGGGACCUGCUGGGAGAGUGAUCACAAUAUCCAAAGUAAAUUUAAAAUGCCUGUUGAAAGUGACACACUGACUCAGCAUUGUCAAUAACACAGAAUCACCACAAUAAAACUGCCCUGCCUUGUGGCUCCUGGCACCUCCUGUCUCUUUAGGUUAAGCAGAGAGAGGCCUGUGUUGCUUUGGAACAAGGUGCAGCCUCCCCCUAAGCUACAGAGAGGCUCUGAGCAAGGACCAGCCCCCAGGGUGCAGCCUUGCCCACCCUCCACAGGCUCCAGAGCAAAUGGGGUGGCUCUAGAGAGCAAAUGGUCAAAACUUCUAGCGCUAAAUAGAGCUUUAACAUGUCUCAGAUACUAGCAAAAUAGAGAAGCCUCAGAUGGCUUUAGGUCUGGAAGUGUGUUGCUAAAAAUGCUAAAAAUUUAACAAACUUUUAUAAAUCCUUAAGAGAUCUUUUUCAGUUUUGUGAAGCACCAUUAAUUGCCCAUGUGUUUCAACUUGCAGACAGGCAAGAAUUUGGCUUUGUAUGUUUAAAAAUAUGUACAUCGUGGUUCAUAAUGAUGAUUUAUUUCCAAAAUGGUGACUCGUACUAGGAUUACAUAUAAAACAUCAUAUGUGGGCCUUAUAUGUAAUAAUGUAUAAGUAUAGUAUAUUCUGACAUAACAUGGGCAGAGAUUUGUAUUAAUUUAUUUCUAUUUCAUCUAAUCAAUAUUUUACUUAAGUCUAAAACCUUAUAUAUAUAUUGACUUAUGUAUCAUCACAUAUAUAAACUUUGUAUCUAUUGAACUGAGCAAUCUGUAGUUUAUUUUAAAUUCUGAUAUGUUAAAGAUGUGGAGAACUACAUG
rnacentral:lncRNA from 1 species